AGUGUCGAGUAAUCCAUCCAUGACUUUCGACCGAUAUGAAGAAUCGACGCUGAAAUAUGCAGAUGAAGUACCUUCAUCUUCAAAAGACUGCUGUGCCAGGUAUAUACUGAACAUGAUUGAGAUCUGCAACUUAUUCGCUUGAACACAGCCUGGAAGAUCGAAAGGCACAAAAUGAAUCCAGCAAGGGCUCCAAGAAAGCACUGAGUUGAAAAUGUACAAAAUUGUACGAAACGAUGCUACAAGACAACUUUGACGGAGUCUAUAAUGUGUACGGUAACACCUUAAAAAUGGUGUGAUGUGGGAAAACUACGACCCUAAAGACGAUAUUCUGCAGCUUAGAAAUGCGACGAAGAUGAUGUGGAGACGUCUGACGCUGAAGGUUGAUUGAUGCGUUGAGUACACGCUUGAUUUCGAAAUAGCGAUCAGCAUGACAAUACAAGAAGCAAGGCAUGUAGCAUUAUAAUGUAGCAGCAUAAUUAUUAGACUGAUCCUUAAAAAAGUCAUUGUUGUAUUUGAACCGGCUCAGCACCUCCUAGAUCGGGUAAAAAGAAAUUUGAAAAAAUUGGGUCAAAAUUUCGGCAUUCUAGUUCAAUUAAAACGGGUGCCUGUGAGCAUAAAUUCAUUUUGAGUAUCGAAUUUGGGCAAGAACCGCUAAUAAUCACCGAUGAUGAAAAUUCUAUGUGAAAAAUGAACUAUUCACAUCCGCUAUUUUAACAGUAUUUCCAUUGUAGUGGGGAAAUGAGGAAAAAAUCAUAGCUUUGUAUGCUGACACUCUUGAAACAAUUUAAUCCAUGGCAGAAAAAUUCUUAGAAUAUUGAAGAUAAAAAGAGAUGAAUAAUUUAUAAUUUAAUCACAAAUCAAUCAGUCCUUAUUCCCAAUUCGCACUUAUGAUUCAUCACUUGAAGUUGGCGAUCGAUCAUCGUCAUCGAGGGUUUUUGUGCAUUUCCAAUAUUCAAAGAAUUUUCUAAUUUUUUUUUUAUAAGCAAUCUUCUGUAUCUUUUUCAGAUAAGCUUUCUAACGACCACUCCAAUGAUAUAUGAUAUUGAAGACGAUUUUUCCUUGACCUUGAUGACUUGUUGACUAAUGUUAUUCUUGGAUAUGAAGGUCACAACUCAAAACACUUUUUUAUAGUGUUAACGUUUCAGCCCUGAUGGGGGCGCUCCUCAGAACCAAUUUAU
rnacentral:lncRNA from 1 species